CACUAAGAAGCUAAAUAGGGCCAUAGCGUCAGCCUUUUAAGCUGAAGAUUGGUGCCCCCCAACCACCCUUAGUGA
rnacentral:tRNA from 1 species